GGGUUGCCUCUGCCAGCUGCGCGGUGCUCCUAAUGAAAUUAUUCCUUCGGUGGGAGAGGUACUGGACACUCCCCAGGACCCACGCCAGUUGGAAUGCCCUGCAGGGGAAGCCUGCAUGCACCCUUGGGAAGUGGACCCCUCAGCCGCACACAGAGACCUCAGCUCCCCUCUCCCGGCUUUCUCUUUCUCCAUCAGCACCAAUAGCUUCCUUGGCCCAGUCCUGCGCUGGUGAUUAGGAAUGGCUCCACUAUGUGACCUGCAGGCACCCAGGACAGCAGGGCAAGGACAGAACAAGAGUAUGGGAAGAGUGUCCUGAACAAUAAAUGGGUCCCGGGACUGUAAGGGACAAAAUACACCUCAUAACCCACACCUUGCAACAACAUAGAAACCCACAGUGCAGUUUUAUCCCCGGUCCUCCAAAUGCCACCUGCUGCAGGUUCCUGGCCUGGGAAUGUCACUUCUUUCCUGGCACCGUUUAUAGGUGAUCAGCGGCUGUCUUAGCUUUGCUGCAGCCCCAGGCUCCCCCACCCUGAGGUGUGGGAACAGUGCCUCCCCACCCCCAUGCAGUACUGGGCUUUCUAAGCUGCCCGAGCACUUUAAUCACAAGCGCUUGGGCAGUGGCCUUCGAGCAACUGGCUGUGGCUCUCCUGUAAUGAGAUGAGGGCUCUGUCCUGUACUUCCUUCCAUAAACCCUGCUCACUGCCCACAGCACUGCAUGGGAUGGAGCAGGCAUAUUUUACAUUUUCAACUUUAUUAAAGGAGUGGGUCGAGCUGGGGAGACUGCAUCCUCUCCAUGGUCCGUUCUGCCCCUGGAGGCGAUAAAUCUCCAUGUCCGUGAUUUGUGGCUUUGCGCUCCCAAUAAAUUAAAUCUUUCUCGAUGAAAAGGUUGGCGCUCCAGGCUCAACACAGGUCACUGUAUUUGUCCAAAGCAAGUGGCUGGGAAGCAGGCACAGGGCCCAGUCUGUGCUGUCCACCCUGCUAGUGCUCUCCUGGAUGUGGACAGUUUACUCUGAGGAAGUAGGCUGGGGGGUAAGGGCGGGUGCAGAAGUAUUCAGUUCCUGUACAGAACUGGGUCCUCUACACCAAUGGACCCCUAGGCAGGUCUGUGAUUCCCUUUAAACCUUCACCACCAGGGGACAUUUUAUCUCUUGAUCUAAAAAUUCCAAACUCCAUCCCAGAGAUGAGGUAAGCUGCCGCUUGCCCAGCACGGACGGUAUGGGUCAGGCAGCUCCACUCUCCAAAGCUUCCUGCAUACUCUAGUCAUCUCUGUUCUCCAUCUGUGAAAGGAAAAGGUGGCCACCCAGGGAGCUGUCACUAAGCUUCAAGUACAGUCAGCUCUAAGGACUUGCUCUAAGGCUAGGACCUAGGAGGAUGGAGCUGACAGAGAAUAAGGGAGAGGUGGACUCCAGCCUCCAGGUUUCGCUGCCAGCUGCCCCUGGCUCACUGAUGGGUGUCAGUGCCCAGGACAGGUUGGUACUGAAAGACUGCUCCAUCAGCUUCAUCUCAGACCAAGAGGAGCCCACACCCAUCAGAGCUGAGCUCCCAGCCUUUCCUGAGAGGUACCAUGAGGGUUUGGGGUGAUAGAGAAUUCACAAAAUCAUUUAAGACUUUAAAUACAGCUCCUGGUUGUGUUUAAACUUCAAAUCAGUGUCAGCAACGAAAAGGUCUGCAAUUUGGAACAAAAAGAUUUAUGGACCUAGUUAGCACCUGACCUCCAGGGAAAGUGCCCAAAUUACUCAGUACAGAGUAGCCUUGCGGAGUCUGAAGAACCUGGGACCCUGUCCAGGAGCCAAAGUCAACACUGCUUGGGCCCUGGUGCUCCAGUUUCAGGUGGUGGGAUUGACUGGGGUCUGAGAGCCCACAUUCUUGAUGGGCAGGGGCUUAGGCACUGGCACCGGACACAAAAGCCUUAACCCCAGCUUCCUGGACUCAGGUUGCAAAACCAUUACGUUGAUUAAUCAAAUCACUU
ensembl:lincRNA Gm13553 predicted gene 13553